rnacentral:tRNA from 1 species
AAAAAAUUAGUUAAUUAAUAACAUAAGCUUGUCAAGCUUAAAUAACUAAGAGUAUUUAGUAUUUUUUA